rnacentral:rRNA from 1 species
UACGUAGGGUGCAAGCGUUGUCCGGAAUUAUUGGGCGUAAAGAGCUCGUAGGCGGUUUGUCGCGUCUGCUGUGAAAACCCGAGGCUCAACCUCGGGCCUGCAGUGGGUACGGGCAGACUAGAGUGCGGUAGGGGAGAUUGGAAUUCCUGGUGUAGCGGUGGAAUGCGCAGAUAUCAGGAGGAACACCGAUGGCGAAGGCAGAUCUCUGGGCCGUAACUGACGCUGAGGCGCGAAGGCUAGGGGAGCGAACGGG